CAAAGACCCUACACAUUGAUUCCUCUUCCCUAGCCAUGAGCAGCAUUCCCUGGAAACAAGUUAUUUCAGUACCUUGGUGGAAUAAGAGGGGACUGUGUGUCCCCCCUACCAUGAUCCUAUGGCCACUGACAGUAUGGACAAGAUCCUGGUGGUGAAGGAUAGAGCUACCAUUGUCAUCAUGAAUUAUUACAAAACACACAGGACAGCAUUCAGUAUUUUGAGCAACAAACAAGGCCGAAUGAUGCUGGCUACACACCCCACGAAGUUCCUCCCACCAAGGAGAUCAAGAACCUUUGAGUGACAGAAGCAUUCCACAAACCAAACGGGAAGAAAUAACGAAGAAAGAGAGGCCGCUUGAAUGACCCUGUCCACUCCAAGCAGCACCCCGACUCUUUCCCUAAGCAAAAACCGAGACUGGUUCACUUCUGGUUCUUCUACAGCCUUAUCUGGUCCAAAUUCCAGCAAAGUCCAGUUUCAGAAAUGGGGAUAAAGACAGACUCAUCAGAUAAAUGGAGCAGUUUUGAACAAAGACCCCCAUACUUCCACCCCCACCUCAGGAGUCUGCUUCAGGAGGCUUUGUCACCUGGGCUACAAAGGAGCACAGUGGCCCUUCCCAGUGGAACUGACCUAUGCUCAGGUUAUAUCCAGGCCAACUGAAUGGCUGUGAAUCCAGCAACCUUCAAGCCACCCAAGAUGAACAUUCCAGAGAUAGAAGGACAGAAACGAUUGCCACAGACCACAAUCUCAAACUUGA
rnacentral:lncRNA from 1 species